CGAAUCCCACGCCCUCCUCGUCCGUGGCGGCCUGGAAGCCGAGGCGGGCGAACACGCCGCUGACCUUGGCCUGGGACUUGUUGGAGACCGCGUGGGCCGCGUUGGUCAGCUUGUUGGUCAGCUUGUGGCGGAUCAGGUCACCCUAUGUUCCUGCCUCUUCUGGGGGGAAAAAAAAGUGUUCACUCCAGCCAUUUGCAUCGUUGUCGCAACGGCUACCGGCAUCUCAUCCCCUCCAAGUUCCUUUCCUGCAAUUCUUUGGAUGAACGCUCAUAUUUGAUUGGCAAAGUUUGAAGGCGGACGCCCUUCCUGACGCAACCCUCUGCAUUUAUCCGGGCUUGGGACCCCCCUUAGGGCUGCAUUACAAUUGUACAACUAUAAUUAUAUGAAAUAUGACAUGAUGUGGGGCUCGCUUUAAAAACGCUGUGUUUUUUUUUGGUGGUUUUGCUUU